rnacentral:rRNA from 1 species
CUUCCGUAAGGGUGACCUGCGGAAGGAUCAUUACUGAAAUGUAAUAACUUCUAUUGAAAGGUUCCAGAGUAGGCGCUACAACGCCGAAAUGACCUUCUCACCCUUGUGUACUCACUAUGUUGCUUUGGCGGGUCGACCUGGUUCCGACCCAGGCGGCCGGCGCCCCCAGCCUUAACUGGCCAGGACGCCCGGCUAAGUGCCCGCCAGUAUACAAAACUCAAGAAUUCAUUUUGUGAAGUCCUGAUAUAUCAUUUAAUUGAUUAAAACUUUCAACAACGGAUCUCUUGGUUCUGGCAUCGAUGAAGAACGCAGCGAAAUGCGAUAAGUAAUGUGAAUUGCAGAAUUCAGUGAAUCAUCGAAUCUUUGAACGCACAUUGCGCCCUCUGGUAUUCCGGAGGGCAUGCCUGUUCGAGCGUCAUUUCAACCCUCAAGCUCUGCUUGGUAUUGGGCAACGUCCGCUGCCGGACGUGCCUUGAAGACCUCGGCGACGGCGUCCUAGCCUCGAGCGUAGUAGUAAAAUAUCUCGCUUUGGAGUGCUGGGCGACGGCCGCCGGACAAUCGACCUUCGGUCUAUUUUUCCAAGGUUGACCUCGGAUCAUGUAGCAUGCAG